UACAGAGGUCCCAAGCGUUGUUCGGAUUCACUGGGCGUAAAGGGUGCGUAGGCGGGUUUGUAAGUCAGUGGUGGAAUCUCCAAGCUUAACUUGGAAACUGCCGUUGAUACUAUAAAUCUUGAAUGUUGUGGAGGUGAGCGGAAUAUGUCAUGUAGCGGUGAAAUGCUUAGAUAUGACAUAGAACACCAAUUGCGAAGGCAGCUCACUACACAAAGAUUGACACUGAGGCACGAAAGCGUGGGGAUCAAACAGG
rnacentral:rRNA from 1 species